GCACGAGUGGCGGAAUUGGUAUACGCGCAGGAUUAAGGAUCCUGUGCCGCAAGGCUUAAGGGUUCGAGUCCCUUCUCGUGCA
rnacentral:tRNA from 1 species